UACGGAGGGUGCAAGCGUUAAUCGGAAUUACUGGGCGUAAAGCGUGCGCAGGCGGUUUGUUAAGUCUGUUGUGAAAUCCCCGGGCUCAACCUGGGAAUUGCGUUGGAGACUGCAAGGCUGGAGUCUGGCAGAGGGGGGUAGAAUUCCACGUGUAGCAGUGAAAUGCGUAGAGAUGUGGAGGAACACCGAUGGCGAAGGCAGCCCCCUGGGUCAAGACUGACGCUCAUGCACGAAAGCGUGGGGAGCAAACAGG
rnacentral:rRNA from 1 species